UGAGCAACCUGCCCCUGACUCUGGGAUAACCCCGGGAAACCGGAGCUAAUACCGGAUACGACACGCGAAGGCAUCUUCUGCGUGUAGAAAGAUUUAUCGGUCAGGGAUGGGCUCGCGGCCUAUCAGCUUGUUGGUGGGGUAACGGCCUACCAAGGCGACGACGGGUAGCCGGCCUGAGAGGGCGACCGGCCACACUGGGACUGAGACACGGCCCAGACUCCUACGGGAGGCA
rnacentral:rRNA from 1 species